rnacentral:rRNA from 1 species
UUCGCCCUUAGAGUUUGAUCCUGGCUCAGGAUGAACGCUGGCGGCGUGCCUAACACAUGCAAGUCGAACGGAGUUCUUAAGGAAUGCGACUUCGGUCAAAUGACUUUUGAACUUAGUGGCGGACGGGUGAGUAACGCGUGAGCAACCUGCCUUUCAGAGGGGGAUAACAUUUGGAAACAGAUGCUAAUACCGCAUAAGAUUACAGUACCGCAUGAUACAGUGAUCAAAGGAGCAAUCCGCUGAAAGAUGGGCUCGCGUCCGAUUAGAUAGUUGGUGAGGUAACGGCUCACCAAGUCGACGAUCGGUAGCCGGACUGAGAGGUUGAACGGCCACAUUGGGACUGAGACACGGCCCAGACUCCUACGGGAGGCAGCAGUGGGGAAUAUUGCACAAUGGGCGAAAGCCUGAUGCAGCAACGCCGCGUGAGGGAAGACGGUUUUCGGAUUGUAAACCUCUGUUUUCGGUGACGAACAAAUGACGGUAACCGAGUAGGAAGCCACGGCUAACUACGUGCCAGCAGCCGCGGUAAUACGUAGGUGGCAAGCGUUAUCCGGAAUUACUGGGUGUAAAGGGAGCGCAGGCGGGAUAGCAAGUCAGCUGUGAAAACUAUGGGCUCAACCCAUAAACUGCAGUUGAAACUGUUAUUCUUGAGUGGAGUAGAGGCAAGCGGAAUUCCGAGUGUAGCGGUGAAAUGCGUAGAUAUUCGGAGGAACACCAGUGGCGAAGGCGGCUUGCUGGGCUCUAACUGACGCUGAGGCUCGAAAGUGUGGGGAGCAAACAGGAUUAGAUACCCUGGUAGUCCACACUGUAAACGAUGAUUGCUAGGUGUGGGGGGUCUGACCCCCUCCGUGCCGGAGUUAACGCAAUAAGCAAUCCACCUGGGGAGUACGGCCGCAAGGUUGAACUCAAAUGAAUUGACG